rnacentral:rRNA from 1 species
GUCCUUUAGAUGUUAAUUUAAGGUCUAACCUGCCCACUGAAUUAUUUUAAAUGGCCGCAGUAAUUUGACUGUGCAAAGGUAGCAUAAUCAUUAGUUUUUUAAUUGAAAGCUUGUAUGAAAGGUUGGACGAAGUAAAAUCUGUCUCUAAUUAAAUUAAUUUAGAAUUUAACUUUUAAGUUAAAAGGCUUAAAUCUAACUAAAAGACGAGAAGACCCUAUAGAUCUUUAUAUUUAAAUUAAUAAAUUUAAUUAAGAAUUUUUAAAAUUUUAUUAAUUUAAUUAUUUUAUUGGGGUAAUAUAAAGAUUAAAAUAAUUCUUUUUUUUUAUUAACAUUAAUUUAUGAUUUUGAUGAUCCAAUUAUAUUGAUUUUAAGAUUAAGUUACCUUAGGGAUAACAGCGUAAUUUUUUUAGAGAGUUCUUAUCGAUAAAAAAGUUUGCGACCUCGAUGUUGGAUUAAAGAUUAUUUUAGGUGUAGAAGCUUAAAAAUUUUGGUCUGUUCGACCAUUGAAUCUUUACAUGAUCUGAGUUCAGACCGGUGUAAGCCAGGUUGGUUUCUAUCUUUAGUAAAUUAAAAUAUUUUAGUACGAAAGGACCAAUUAUUUAAUAUAAAUAUUUAAAUUUUGAUUAUUAUUAA